rnacentral:rRNA from 1 species
UACGUAGGGGGCAAGCGUUGUUCGGAAUUAUUGGGCGUAAAGGGUGCGUAGGCGGUUUGGUAAGUCUUGUGUGAAAUCUCUGGGCUCAACUCAGAGUCUGCACGAGAAACUGCCGGGCUUGAGUGUGGGAGAGGUGAGUGGAAUUCCUGGUGUAGCGGUGAAAUGCGUAGAUAUCAGGAGGAACACCAGCGGCGAAGGCAGCUCGCUGGGACGGUACUGACGCUGAGACGCGAAAGCGUGGGGAGCAAACAGG